GGUUGAGUGGCUCAGUUGGUUAGAAAGUGGCAGGGACCUGGGUUCAAUUCCCAGCUUGGUCA
rnacentral:tRNA from 1 species